rnacentral:lncRNA from 1 species
UAUAUAGAAAGUUGUGAUAUAUCCUACAGCGGUCCCAACUCCCAAUCCUCACUUUGACUGUACCACUCAACCGGUCAAACCUGUCACUAUCUCCACCGUAUCCCGCCGGUGAACGUGUUCUCCGGCGUACGUCACAAUCAGCAUCUUCGAAUCGUCCACCGCUAACUCCACACACUUCCUCGCCGGACAUCCUUUUCCGGGUUUGGUGAACCGUCGAUCCUCUUCUCGCCGUACUUUUUCCACGAAUAAUCGUCCGCCGGUACGCUUGCGAACUUAGAUCCGGUGAUCGGAACUCUUUUGAUUACACGUUUUGCUGAGAUUUUCCUGAAACGAAUGAACAAAAUGUUAAUCGACGGUGAAGAGAUUCCUAUAGUUGCCGGAAAAUGCAAUAUGUUGCAGAAACGGUGGCGCGUGUGAUUCACGUACCUUCGCUUGCAGCAGUGACAACUGUUACGUGAACCGGAGUGAUUGUCAGAUCUAGAUCCGUACAACGAAACGGAACACCUUUUCAGGUGAGACGAUGGAAGCGGCGGUUUCCUCGAGGAAAACGCCGGUGUCGGAGCGACUAUACCUAAUCCGGCGAACUGUUUACCGUUCGAAACACUUGCUUCUUCUCCUAUUCCUCCAGUUAACGGAGAUAACAACGAGGAUGAAUUCGUUGACCUAGACGAAGACGACGUCGUAUCCGUCACCGAUCUAGUAAAAUCACACUCACCUGACCGGAAAAAAGCCGGUGCCGAUUGUGUAGAAGUGGAGGGCGCGUGAGAAUCAGAGAGCGCCGGUGAUGGUCCACGACGGAAGCGGGCGUGACCGGUACGUUUUAUGGCGGAAACUGGAGGAUUACAGUUGGAAGAUACGGCGAAUUCGUGAUUUGUUACCUGGAAGAUGCGGUUAAGGUGUUGAACGGAUUGAAUUCCGACGAAAUCUACUGCCAUUUUUGGUUCUUUGAAGUUGCUAAUGGAGGUUGAAUGGAAGAGAGAAAUGAAAUGGGGGUGGGGGUUAUAAGGAAAUUGGGAGUCAAAGGAGAUGAUAUGGUUUGACCUUUUUGAUUAAAAUAGGACAAAUGCUUUGGUGGCCACUUGUUUAAAAAAAAAAAAAAAAGAAGAAGAGAUUUGAAAAUUUGAUCAACAUUCAAACCGAUGGUUCCUCUCGUUGAAAUAAAUAAUAUUAUUUUUGGUUGUUUUUUGUUUGUUUUUU